rnacentral:rRNA from 1 species
UCCAGACUCCUACGGGAGGCAGCAGUGGGGGAUAUUGCACAAUGGGGGGAACCCUGAUGCAGCGACGCCGCGUGGGUGAAGGAGCGUUUCGGCGCGUAAAGCCCUAUCGGCAGGGAAGAAGGAGGACGGUACCUGACUAAGAAGCCCCGGCUAACUACGUGCCAGCAGCCGCGGUAAUACGUAGGGGGCAAGCGUUAUCCGGAUUUACUGGGUGUAAAGGGGGCGCAGACGGCAGCGCAAGCCAGGAGUGAAAGCCCGGGGCCCAACCCCGGGACUGCUCUUGGAACUGCGCGGCUGGAGUGCAGGAGGGGCAGGCGGAAUUCCUGGUGUAGCGGUGAAAUGCGUAGAUAUCAGGAGGAACACCGGUGGCGAAGGCGGCCUGCUGGACUGCGACUGACGUUGAGGCCCGAAAGCGUGGGGAGCAAACAGGAUUAGAUACCCCUGUAGUA